UGAUGGAAGUCAUUAUCAUUACACCCCUGAGACAGAGGAAAAUAACUAUAUUGAACCAGAACCUGAGCCAGUUCGAAACCACGACACCCACUACAGAGAUGAGACCCCGACACCUUCUCCCAACGAGAACAUUGAGAGGAUCGAAGUCAUCAGUACUUCCCAGAUGUCUCAGCAAGUAGCAUGUGAUACUAGAUUACGUGAUCAGUGCAAAGGAACUACUUGUAACAGGUACGAAUGUCCACCAGG